GGGAGAAUGAAAAAUUGUGAGGCGAGGGUAGGGUCGUGUCGUGUGUUGUUUCUUUCUUUGUCGUUUUGGUAUUCGGACCGAACCCUAGCUCCGCAGCGCAAUAAUGUCGUCCAAGCAAGGUGGAAAAGCCAAGCCUUUGAAGAAACCCAAGUCUGAUAAGAAAGAUUAUGACGAGGUUGACGUGGCUAACAUUCAGAAGAAAAAGGAAGAAGAGAAGGCGCUAAAGGAGUUGAAAGCCAAGGCGCAACAGAAGGGAAAUUUUGGAGGUUCCGGGCUCAAGAAAAGUGGAAAGAAAUAAGGGCUCUUUAUCAUGAUUGUAUACAUUCAAUAUUGAGCUCUGUAAUUACAGUUGUUACCUUCGCUUAUUGUGGCCUACUUUAUUGCUGAUGUUAGUACUGAACUAAGGCAUGUCGUGAUGUAAGCGCAACAAGUUACUUGUUUGCAGCUUUGUUGUGUGUCCCUCACGGGGUUCUGAUAAUUACAUCAACUAAGUAGUGUUGUGGAUUUGGCAGACUUAUAAGUAAUAAUGGCUUGGCUU